GUUGCUGCAGAGGAAAGAGAUGGCUUCACUGCUGACGGGGUCCCAUCAAUUGAUGUGUCAAGAAGAAGUUGCAGAGCCUUGGUCAAACCAGAGGUUGCCAGGAUGUCAAACCCUGGGUGGGAAGUAUAAUAAACCAUCUGUACUGGGCUGUGGUCUCGACACCUCCUGGCAAUGUUCAACUUGUGGUGGACAAAUGGACAUCAGUUAUGGAUCACAUCCACAACAGGCAUACCGGGUUCGAGGGACUGUUCUCUUCUUGUGCACACGGAGUCUCGGAAGGCAGGGAACAGCGUAAACCAUGGCUGAAAUAUCAUACAAAGGUGUCUUUUGAGGUUGAGAAGAUCAUCCGGAACAAGAGGCUGUGUGCAGAUGUACAACGCCUGUCCCCGUCACACCAGACAUCCUACGUAGAAGCAUUCCACAGCCUGAUUACACACUUUGCGCCUAAGAUGUGCCACUUUUCAUACAAAGGGAUGGAGAGCAGGCUAUGCUGAAGAGCUGAUGCGGAUGGUGGAGGCCAUGUGUCGAGGUGAAUACUACAGCUGUGAUGACUUUGACAUUCCAGACCCAUCCCCUGUUCCAGAGCCACUGAGUGCAUCAUGUGAAAAGCCGGAUAAGAGGGCAGCAGUCAGUACACACACAACCCGCUUUAGCACCACAAACAACCCUUCAAUAUAGACAUUACCAAAAGUUUGAUGCAGGUAAUUCCAAAACCACAGUACAGGGUGUGUUGGAAGGACACUUUUUUUCACACUUAUGCAUACAAAUGGUUCCAACUCAGGUGACUUAUCUGAGUAAAAAGUAGACCAAUGUACUUGUCUUAUGUUCAGCUGAUUCUCCACUGGUUGGAUUGAGUUUGUGGUGAUAGUAUGUGUAAUUCUGCUCCAGCAGGGGGCACCAAAGCUACACACACACCAUCUGGUGUGAACCAGGCCAGGUCCUGGUUAGUUUUUUAGUGUUUUUUUAGUAAUGACAGUCUCGCUGUGCAUAAGGUACAAUGGCAUGAAUGGUGUUACAGUUAUGUAAUAUGUGCUACUGUUGUAAUUACACCACAAAUGUACUCAUACUUUUGUUUAAAAUUGGACAGAGCUGG